AUACAUGCAAGUCGAGCGGACCGACGGGAGCUUGCUCCCUUAGGUCAGCGGCGGACGGGUGAGUAACACGUGGGUAACCUGCCUGUAAGACUGGGAUAAYUCCGGGAAACCGGGGCUAAUACCGGAUGCUUGAUUGAACCGCAUGGUUCAAUCAUAAAAGGUGGCUUUUAGCUACCACUURCAGAUGGACCCGCGGCGCAUUAGCUAGUUGGUGAGGUAACGGCUCACCAAGGCGACGAUGCGUAGCCGACCUGAGAGGGUGAUCGGCCACACUGGGACUGAGACACGGCCCAGACUCCUACGGGAGGCAGCAGUAGGGAAUCUUCCGCAAUGGACGAAAGUCUGACGGAGCAACGCCGCGUGAGUGAUGAAGGUUUUCGGAUCGUAAAACUCUGUUGUUAGGGAAGAACAAGUACCGUUCGAAUAGGGC
rnacentral:rRNA from 1 species